rnacentral:snRNA from 1 species
GUGCAAUUUGACAGCACAUAUACUAAAACUGGAAUGACACAGAGAAAAUAAUUAUGGCCCCUAUGAAAGGAUGAUACACAAAUCUGUGACUGGUACCACAUUUUU